rnacentral:rRNA from 1 species
CAGCAGCCGCGGUAAUACAGAGGUCCCGAGCGUUGUUCGGAUUCACUGGGCGUAAAGGGUGUGUAGGAUGUUGGAUAAGUCAGGUGUGAAAUCCCGCAGCUCAACUGCGGAACUGCAUUCGAUACUGUUCAACUAGAGGAUCGGAGGGGGAAGCGGAAUUCUUGGUGUAGCGGUGAAAUGCGUAGAUAUCAAGAGGAACACCGGUGGCGAAGGCGGCUUCCUGGAAGAUACCUGACUCUGAAACACGAAAGCCAGGGGAGCGAAUGGGAUUAGAUACCCGUGUAGUCCCUGUCUCUUAUAC